CAUUUGAAACCUUCUCUGCAUUUCUUCCUCCUCCUUCUCUUUCCCUUUCAGUCGCUCCACAUGUUCUCCCUUGCUGUAUAUCGGCUUUGCACCAUUUAAGUCAAUGGAGCUAUGCUAAUUUACAUCAGCUGAGGGUCUGGUCCAUAGUUGCUGGCCUUCCAGAGACCUGGUGCAGGACAUGCAGGUUGCCAGGAAUGCUGUAAUGGUCCCCCAAUGAAACCUGCUGCAGAGGGAUGACAUUCAUUGCCAUCUAUGAGGGAUGUCACAGUGGUUCUGUUAAAGAAAGAGCACAGAGCCUCAUUCCCCACACUCAAAGAUGUUCUAGAGACAGAGGCUGGAAUGCUGAUUCCUACUACCAAGUACAGUCAUCACCCCCGGUAUUGCACGAAGAAAGCAGAGAACUCACCAUCGCCCAAUCAGCACUUCCACGGGAACCCCAUUGGGAAAGCUCAGGCUUGGGAAGAGGUAACAGAGCGCAGUGGACCCGGCAGGGAAAGGCCUGGGCCUGCUGGUGUUGCCCCACAUCACACUCUGGUUUGCAUGUAGCCACGAGGGCCUUCCUGAUGGAAAAAAUAAAAUGAUGUACAUUUAUUUUAAAAAGACAAACUCUAUGGAACACUGAGGCUGAAGUGCUGCUUCCUUAUUGGUUACUGAACCUGUCAGUGAUUCCUAGGAAGAGACGAAUACUGUUAACAGAACCCUGUAUCCACGGUAACAUGUGACUGAAACGUUCCGGCAGAAGGUAACUUCUUUGAUUUUUAUUUCUUAUCAUUUGAUUUAUUUCCCUGGAGUGACCCAUGGCACUGGCACUCAAUGACUGGCAGGGAGGGUGGAUGGUCAGGGAUCAAGUCUGG
rnacentral:lncRNA from 1 species